rnacentral:rRNA from 1 species
GUUAUCGUUUAUUUGAUAGUACCUUACUACUUGGAUAACUGUGGUAAUUCUAGAGCUAAUACAUGCUAAAAAUCCCGACUUCGGAAGGGAUGUAUUUAUUAGAUUAAAAACCAAUGCCCUUCGGGGCUCACUGGUGAUUCAUGAUAACUCCUCGAAUCGCAUGGCCUUGUGCCGGCGAUGGUUCAUUCAAAUUUCUUCCCUAUCAACUUUCGAUGUUUGGGUAUUGGCCAAACAUGGUUGCAACGGGUAACGGAGGGUUAGGGCUCGACCCCGGAGAAGGAGCCUGAGAAACGGCUACUACAUCCAAGGAAGGCAGCAGGCGCGCAAAUUACCCAAUCCCGACACGGGGAGGUAGUGACAAUAAAUACUGAUACAGGGCUCUUUUGGGUCUUGUAAUUGGAAUGAGUACAAUUUAAACCUCUUAACGAGGAACAAUUGGAGGGCAAGUCUGGUGCCAGCAGCCGCGGUAAUUCCAGCUCCAAUAGCGUAUAUUAAAGUUGUUGCAGUUAAAAAGCUCGUAGUUGAAACUUGG